AUGUAUAAUGCGGAGGCUGGAAGGAAAGGGAAAAAACAACCAACAUGGGUAGCUGUCAAGGCUCCUCAACAACCGGAUGUGGAGCAAUGUGGUUUCUAUAUCAUGCUAUAUAUGAAAGAUUUAAUUGAAAAUUUUGGAGUUGACCACAAGGAUUCACUUCCAGCAAUGUUUACAAAUCUCAAGUACUCCAGAGUUGAAAUUGAUGAAGUGCGGUUUGAGUGGGC